GCGGGCGUAGUUCAGUGGUAGAACUUCAGCUUCCCAAGCUGAUAGCGCGAGUUCGAUUCUCGUCGCCCGCUCCA
rnacentral:tRNA from 1 species